GACGAACGCUGGCGGCGUGCUUAACACAUGCCAGUCGAACGGUGAAGCUCCAGCUUGCUGGAGUGGAUCAGUGGCGAACGGGUGAGUAACACGUGAGCAACCUGCCCCUGACUCUGGAAUAAGCGCUGGAAACGGCGUCUAAUACUGGAUACGAGAAGGGUCCGCAUGGGCACUUUCUGGAAAGUUCUUCGGUUGGGGAUGGGCUCGCGGCCUAUCAGCUUGUUGGUGAGGUAAUGGCUCACCAAGGCGACGACGGGUAGCCGGCCUGAGAGGGCGACCGGCCACACUGGGACUGAGACACGGCCCAGACUCCUACGGGAGGCAGCAGUGGGGAAUAUUGCACAAUGGGCGAAAGCCUGAUGCAGCGACGCCGCGUGAGGGAUGACGGCCUUCGGGUUGUAAACCUCUUUCAGCAGGGAAGAAGCGAAAGUGACGGUACCUGCAGAAGAAGCACCGGCUAACUACGUG
rnacentral:rRNA from 1 species